rnacentral:tRNA from 1 species
ACCUGGCUGGCUCAGUAGGGGGAACAUGAAAUUCUUGAUCUCAGGGUUGUGAGUUCAAGCCCCACGUUAGGUG